GACGAACGCUGGCGGCGUGCCUAAUACAUGCAAGUCGAGCGGACUGACUGGGAGCUUGCUCUUGUUCGGUCAGCGGCGGACGGGUGAGUAACACGUGGGCAACCUGCCCGCAAGACCGGGAUAACUCCGGGAAACCGGAGCUAAUACCGGAUAACACCGAAGACCGCAUGGUCUUUGGUUGAAAGGCGGCGCAAGCUGCCACUUGCGGAUGGGCCCGCGGCGCAUUAGCUAGUUGGUGAGGUAACGGCUCACCAAGGCGACGAUGCGUAGCCGGCCUGAGAGGGUGACCGGCCACACUGGGACUGAGACACGGCCCAGACUCCUACGGGAGGCAGCAGUAGGGAAUCUUACGCAAUGGGCGAAAGCCUGACGGAGCGACGCCGCGUGAGCGAAGAAGGCCUUCGGGUCGUAAAGCUCUGUUGUGAGGGACGAAGGAGCGCCGUUUGAAGAAGGCGGCGCGGUGACGGUACCUCACGAGGAAGCCCCGGCUAACUACGUG
rnacentral:rRNA from 1 species